rnacentral:rRNA from 1 species
AGUGAACGCUGGCGGUAGGCCUAACACAUGCAAGUCGAACGGCAGCACAGAGGAGCUUGCUCCUUGGGUGGCGAGUGGCGGACGGGUGAGGAAUACAUCGGAAUCUACUCUGUCGUGGGGGAUAACGUAGGGAAACUUACGCUAAUACCGCAUACGACCUACGGGUGAAAGCAGGGGACAUUCGGGCCUUGCGCGAUUGAAUGAGCCGAUGUCGGAUUAGCUAGUUGGCGGGGUAAAGGCCCACCAAGGCGACGAUCCGUAGCUGGUCUGAGAGGCUGAUCAGCCACUCUGGAACUGAGACGCGGUCAAGACUCCUACGGGAGGCAGCAGUGGGGAAUUUUGGACAAUGGGCGCAAGCCUGAGCCAGCCAUACCGCGUGGGUGAAGAAGGCCUUCGGGUUGUAAAGCCCUUUUGUUGGUAAAGAAAUCCAGCUGGCUAAUACCCGGUUGGGAUGACGGUACCCAAAGAAUAAGCACCGGCUAACUUCGUGCCAGCCGCCGCGGUAA